CCUUCCCUUCAGCGCGCUGGGGCCGCCAGAGGCUCGGCGCUUGCUCCAACGCCAGGUCUGCGUCUCUCGCUCCUCAAGACCUCGGGGCCAGGAGCCCCGCGCCCACGGGCGGGCCUCGAGGGCCAGGCGGAGAGACGUCCUCCCAACAUUUCCCCCAGGGCUAAGGGGCUUAGCGUGACGUCUCGUAUCCCCCGGCUCUAGCCGCGCCCCCAAUCGGCUGGCACCGUCCGGCAAAGCCCCUUCCUCAGGCCAGUCCCCCGGCCCCGCCCCAGACGCGGGGAGGGCGGCGAAGCUGCGGGGUGCAGCUCCCCUGCCCCACCCUUACACGCCCCCUCCCAGCCCCCUUCUGGUCCGAGCUCCACCUCCUUUAGGGUCCCGCCCUGGCCGCGUGCGCGCCCCCGCAGGUCCCACCCACCAACGCACCGCGCGACUGGACGUGAUGGGAAUAGCGGUCCUCUAACCCAGAGCCUGCAGACCUUGAACCGGAGGCAGAUGCACUGUGGACCGGCAACAGGAGCCGACCCGGGCAUCGCGGCGGCUCUCGGAGCAGAGCACAGCCGCAGCGACAGCGCCCGGGACAGGGAGCCUCCGCCCGGGUGCAGCCGCCGAGACCCUGGCUCCCGCAGCCUGGGAGUCGAGGAACCCCGGCUCCCGCAGCCUGGGAGUCGAAGAACCCCGGCAGGAACUGCAAGAUACCAAGCCUGUCGUGAUCUCAGGGAUUGGAGCAGGGGAAGACGUCGUCGAGGAGGAUCCAAGGUCCGAAACUGAGCAGGAAGCAGCAGCAGAAGGACAAGGCCACAUUGUCACAGGAGCUCCGGGCCCCAGGGACCAAGAGAAGCAGCAGCAGCAGGCGGCCCACGCGGCCACCGAGGGUCCGCAGCCCCGCGACAGACAGCAACGUCUCCACCGUCACACGUUCACCGGGUUGCAGCUGAAGGGGCUGGAAAGCGUUUUGCAGCGCACUCAAUACCCCGACGUGUUGGCGCGGUAAGCGGCUUGCUCUGGAGGCGCGCAUUCUCUAGGACACUGGACUCCUCAGUCCCGGGGUGCCUUGGCUUCUUUCCCAGCUCUCUGUCCCUCCCCCCACCCCCACCCCCACCCCGGAGCCAGAGCUCCCCAGGGGGCUCCAGCCACUGGCGUCUGCCCGCCCUGGAGCCUGAGGUGGGGGCGAUGCCUCCAGGGCAUCAAGGGAAAUACCUGCAGGCCGUCCCUAAGGGAGUCCAGUCAGGAAACCGGGGCUGCGCGUCUGUUUUGGUAAAGAACCUUCUGUUGCAUCGGGAUGGAGAUCAGGGCGAGGAGACGGAGGCACCGUGGUGCGAGUGCGCGGUGGGAUCUUGCCUUUAUUUCAAACUGUGAUCAUUUGGUCGUCGUGGGAUUCUUGUGCAUUCGUCUUGAGUUUUAAAUACUCCCUUAAAAUGUACGAAUCCAGAGAGCUGACCUUUUCAGUGCUCCCUUCAACUUGGCACACAAAGGAAAAUCGUCCCUGAGGCGAGCCUGCAGCUGGGGCUUACAGAAGUGCACGAUGCUGGGGCAUUUGGGAGAACAGAGCUUGGAAAACAAGCAUGAAACCUACCUUAUCUCUCGGGUUUCCUCCGUGACUCCGAAGCCGGUUUGCCAUUUUCUCCCCUCAGAAAGGAGCUUGGACUACUUCUGGAUGUGGCUGAAGCCAGAGCGCAGGUCAGGAAACCUGCAGAAAGCGAAUCUGCAGGGCAGCCACUCUAAAACCUGCUUCAGGACUUGGAUGCUUUUGUUCUCGACAAUCUCACCUUGUUGUUUUGGUUGCCUUCUGCAUGUUUGGGAAGUGAGUUUUGAAUUUUGGGGGCUUGGGCGAGUCGAACAGGGGACGUGUAAAGCCCAGCUUACCAGAAUGGUGCACUGUCAGAGGGAACUUGAGGUCCUAAAGGGAAAACAAAAAAGUCCAAGAGAACCAAACUGCUUCUCCAGUUCCCUGUCCAAAGGGAAACAGAAGUAAAGGUCAGUUCCUUCUAACACUGGGAUCUCCUAGGGAGCACUUCUGUGUGGAGUCAUGUCGAGGCUCCGUCUCAUCUGGGAAGGAGGGACCUUCAUGCAUCGAGGUCUUAGGUUAGGAGAGGGGUCCACUGUAUUAAGUUCUUGCAAAGAUUGAACACCGGGCCUGAGCUCUUAGCUAAAGGAGCGAAUGUGUGCGUAUUCAGGCACUGGGGUCAGGGAAUGAUCCCCACUCCAAGAACACACAACCCGAGCAAGGCGCGCAGGUCUAUUUACUGCCACUGAGACGGAGACCCUUCUGGACUGGCAGGCCGGCUGGCGGACAGCUGAAAAGUCCCAGGGCCUGGGCCUCCUGCAGUGGCUGUUAGCCUGUAGGAAAGCAGGGCAGCAAGGGGCAGCCCUACCGUUCGCUUUUCUCCCAUGGUCUCCUGGGUCAGUCUGCAAACCUUGCUGAGAGCAUGACUUGAUGGUGGAGGCUGAGAGAGAGGUUUGUGAACUGGAACUUUGUCUAAAGCUUGAAACAGAGUAGAACGAUUUUGGAUAAAGUCCCACUGACCCAAGAAGGGUGAACUGGUUAGAAAAGAGUGGCAUCCAGCCCAACUUGGGGCGCAAAGCCAGCAUUAGGAGUGAGUAUUCUCUUGAGGAAUUUCUGACCUGGAAGGGUCUCUCUUUGGGACGGUACUGUCUGGAAGAGGCAGGUUCUGUGGCAUUUCUUUGGUGGGUCGAGGGAGGCUUUCCAUUCCUCUGAAAUACUUUUUCCUUGGCUCAGGCAGUGAUGUCUGACUCCUAGGUGAAAGGUUACCAUGCGAGACCAUAGAGGACCAUCAGUUGUGUUAAGAGAGAAUUUGUCCAAAAUAAAAACAGCGUUCAGGAUGACCUUCUUUGCUCUGCUCCACAGCACGUCCGGGAGUGCAGUGAGGGGAAUGGGCUGCGGGUCUGAUGCUGGUGAAUGUCAGUGAAUUUAGACCCAGUUGGGCUAAAUUUUCCUUACCCCUAUAGGCUGAAAUAGCAAGGCGGUGUCCAGGGCAUCAGCAACUCUGAGAUCUCAGUCAGAGGAGCCACACACCCCUGGGCCCUCCCUGACUAGCCCUUCCUUGUCACCCCAUCUUUUCCCCUCCCCAGAGGUUUCAGAGGGUGAAGGACCCCUUCGAUACCCUUGAGGGAAACCUGUUCCAAAGUCCACCCCCCUCCUGCUGGAUGUGGACUUUAGACUGAAGGAGCUCUCACCAUGCUCAGCUUCCCCCACAGCCAGGGAGACACGAUCCCCCGAGAGCACGGGGCAGAGGCAGCGGGACAGCAGGAUGCUCCACUGUCAGGAGACCGACACUGCUUCAUCCUGUGACCAGGCACGGCAUGAAUAGCAGGAAGAAAGUGCCAUUCAUCAGCUAGCCCCACAUCCAAGAGCCGGGAAAACCCUCCAAGAACAUCGAAGGCGGGAGGAGAGAGACAAAGCCAGAAGGCUGGUCCAAAGCUUGGCACGUCAUAGAUGGUCACUGCGGGUGAAUGGAGGGGAAGGGGCUGGGGUGGUCACUUUCCCAAAAUAUCUUACCAACAAAGACCUAGCUCCUCCCAGUGGUGUUGACAAUCUGAUGUCAUAAAGAAGUUUAUGUUGUAGUGCUUUUCUAUUAUGACGUUAAUUGCUUAAUAUA
ensembl:lncRNA